AUGCUUGGCCCUCCUGCGUGUCGCUUCCUCCUAGAGGAAGAUGUGGAUGAAUAUGUGAAACUCAGCCACGAAGAGCAGCAAAAAAGACUGCAGGCGAUCAUAAAGAAAAUCGACUUGGACUCAGAUGGCUUUCUCACCGAAAGCGAACUCAGCUCAUGGAUGCAGAUGUCUUUUAAGCAUUAUGCUAUGCAAGAAGCAAAACAACAGUUUGUUGAAUAGGAUAAAAACAACGAUGGUACUGUUACAUGGGAUGAAUACAGCAUUCAGAUGUAUGAUCGUGUGAUUGAUUUUGAUGAGAACACGGCUCUGGAUGAUGCAGAAGAAGAGUCCUUUAGGCAGCUUCACUUAGAGGACAAGAAGCGAUUUGAAAAAGCUAACCAGGAUUCAGGUCCCGGUUUGAGUCUUGAAGAAUUUAUUGCUUUUGAGCAUCCUGAAGAACUUGAUUAUAUGACAGAAUUUGUCAUUCAUGAAGCUUUAGAAGAACAUGACAAAAAUGGUGAUGGAUUUGUUAGUUUGGAAGAAUUUCUUGGUGAUUACAGGCGGGAUCCAACUGCAAAUGAAGAUCCAGAAUGGAUACUUGUUGAGAAAGACAGAUUCGUGAAUGCCCAAGAGCUGUUAUCUUGGGUAGUACCUAAUAAUCAGGGCACUGCGCAAGAGGAGGCUCUUCAUCUGAUUGAUGGAAUGGAUUUGAAUGGUGACAAAAAGCUCUCUGAAGAAGAGAUUCUGGAAAACCAGGACUUGUUUCUUACCAGUGAAGCCACAGAUCAUGGCAGACAGCUCCAUGAUGACUAUUUCUAUCAUGAUGAGCUUUAAUCUCCAAGUCCAUCUCAGUAGAGUACUGGAUCCUUUUAUAAUUUGUUACCAGCUUUACUUUUGUGAUAAAAUAUUGAUGUUGUAUUUUAUACUCUUAAGUCUUACCACAGUCAGAAUUACCUUAAUGUAGAUUAUAAUUUUGGUCUUUUAGGAAAAAAACAAAAAC